CACUUCAUUCGUUCAUCACUUAGCUUCCUCGUUUCAUCAGAGAUACUGUAACCCUAACAUUAUCACGCAGACGGCCACACCACCGAUCGCGGCUCUCCUCCUCAUCGACCGCAACUCUCAAUCGCUUUCACUCCAAGCGGCGACGGCGCGGUUCUCCCUUUCACGGUCAUCGGAACGUUGCUCUCAUCCACGGGUUCCUGCGCGGUGCUCUCCUCCACGGGUGUCGGCGCGGUGCUCUCCUCCACGGGCAUCGGCGCGGUGCUGUCCUCCACGCACGCUGCUCCACGGCUCCCCCUCUUCCUAUCUCGGCUCCAAGUACAGGGUCAUGUUCGAGAAACCCCUCUCCUUCUCCCGUUUCCACUUCUUCCCCUGUCUCGCCUUCUCCUCUUCGCAAGGGCUGUAACCCCCCUCCUCCUCCUCUGCUUAUUGCUUCUAUUCUUAAAGCUGUGUUAAGGUACGGAAAAAAGCAGUUUGCGGUUGAUGAGACCAGGCGUGAUACUUAGAAUUGUCCAGUGCCUUCAUGCAAUGAACCACCAGUAUUGACCACUUGAUGUGUCUAACUUCAACAUCUUCCAUCUUCACCAACAACUCCUUGAUAGAAAGAAUGAGAGAGGAGUUAUCAUGGAUCUCCGGUGACAUUUUCUGAGUCAGCGUUAUAGCACACUUUGAGUUUGAUUCCACCACCAGCUUCCUAAUCCCCAGCUCAGAUGCUAGUUUAACCCCAACAUACAUGCCCCAAAUCCCAGCCAUGGUAAUGGUACAAACUCCAAUGUUCAUCGAGAAGCCGGCAAUAGUGCGACCCAUCCAAUCCCUAAUGAGACCUUCACAAGCGCUUUUACUGCCAGGUUGGUUAACCGACCCAUCCACAUUCAAUUUGGUCCAAUUCCAAUUUGGCGCCUCCCAACCAAUAAGCUCCUCUCUGCUGAUUGUUUGGCAGAGUCUCGUUCCCGAAGAUGAGGUCAUUCCUGCACUUCCAGGUUAUGUUGCAAGCUGUGACAAAAGUUAUGGGCCACGGGGUCCCACAGUGCUUUCGAGAGACUAAGGAAAGGGACAAUCACGUAAGACAUGGAGCAAAGUCUCCUCCUCUCCGCAGCAUCUUGGACAGUCGCCAUCUUCCGUGAGGGUCAUAUUUAAACCAAAGAAAAAAUGGCUGCUGCUAUGGUGGGAGGGGCAUUACUCUCUACUUAUGUUCAGGUGUUGUUGGAUAAGAUUAUUUCAAUGAGUUCUUGAACUUCUUUAAUGUUUCACUUCUUGGAAAGAUGAAGAUGAAGUUAAAAGACAAGUUUGAUUUAAAAGCAUGGGCAUGUGUUUCAAAGGAUUUUGAUGGUUUUCAGGGUCACUAAGACUCUGCUUGAAUCGGUUACCUCAAAAACAACAAAUACUGAUAACUUGAAUACUCUGCUAUGCAAACUUUUCUUAUCUUCCAUUUGACAUCUCUUGAUACUGAAGAUUGCUGGUCUUUACUUGCUGAACACGCAUUUGGAGCAAAUAAUUCCAGUGAAAGGUCCAACCUAGAAGGAAUUGGAAGAGAAAUUGUGAAAAAAAUGUGAUGGUUUUCCUUCCCUUACCAUUAAAUGGAUGGUCAUUUGACUAUUACCUAUCAAACAAGGUAAUAUAUGACUUGUUGCCCAAGUUAAAACAGUUGCGGGUAUUAUUCUUGUCACACUACAAGAAUAUCUCUGAGUUACCAGACUCCAUUGGAGCUUUAAAACAUUUGCGGCAUUUAGAUCUUUCUGGCACUAACAUUAAAAGGUUGCCUUCUGUGGUUUGCAAGCUCUACAAUCUAAGUUUCCACUGAAUUACCUGAGGAGAUAGGAAUGAUGGUGAAUCUUCGCCACCUCGACAUUAGUGGAACUCAAUUGCAGGAGAUACCGGCACAAAUAGCAGACUAGAAAAUCUCCAAACUUUAUCUGGGUUUGUUGUUAGCAGACAGCAAAAUGGAUUGAAGGUGGGAGAAUUGCAAAAAUUUCCCAAUUUGCAGGGGAAGCUCUGCAUUUCAAAGCUACAAAACAUUGUUGACACCUGUGAUGCUUCACAAGCCAAUAUGAAGAAGAAAGAACAAAUUGAAGAUCUAUCAUUAGAAUGGGAUAGCUGCACUGCUGAAGAGUUCUGUUCCUAAAAAAUUGUGAGAACUUUGAAUUCCCAAAUCAUGAAUCCCUACAUAGUUACAUGGCACUUGAAUCUUUGACAAUAUGGAAUAGUUGUUGCUCACUGAUAUCAUUUCCCUUAGGCUCUCUCCCUGUGCUCAAGUGGAUCUACUUUAUAGAAUGUAAGAAUUUGAAAUCAUUUUCAAUUUCAGAAGAAGAAGAUGCACCCCAGUGUCUAACAUUUCUUCAUCUUGGAUUGCCAACUCCUAAGCUCAGACGUUUUUGGGUGUCAUAUUGCAACAAGCUUAAUUCACUACUAGAACCGAUUAAUGCUCUUGUUGGCCUUCAAGAAUUGACAGUUCUUAACCUCCCAAGUAUGCAGUUUUUUGCAAAUUAAGGUCAUCCUAUCAGUUUACGAACACUUCGAAUCAGCUCAAAUGCAGAUAUCAUUAAAUGUAGCCUUGAACAUCUUACUUGCCUUUCAGAGUUAGAAAUUGAAGGUGGUUAUCUGGUUAACAUGCUAAUGAAGAUGGAAGUGCCACUAUUACCCUCUACUCUUAUCUCCCUACACAUCUAUCAUCUUGAUGGUAUAAGACAUUUGGAUGGGAAAAUCUGACUUCUCUUGAAGGAUAGCUUUCAUCUCUUUCGGUAUUGACUAUAGGGAGUUGUCCAUUGUUAGAAGCGAGUUGUCGGAGUAAUGGGGAGAAAGAGUGGCCUAAAGUUGCUCACAUUCCUUGCAUUAUUAUGGAUAAGAAGGUCAUCAUUUGAGUGUCUAGAUGAGCCAUUGAAAUAUUAUGAAUCUGUAGAGUCAUAUCCUUAUAACACCAAUGACUCUUGAAUUUUACUUGUUUCAUAGGUUGUAGCAAACUAUUUGUGAACCAUGCUUGUGGAGUUGUGGGAAACUUGCUGUAACUUGAAGCAGAGGAUAAUAUUCUCCAUCAGAUUUUGGUGUGCACGUAGCAUUUUUGUUUUGGAAAUAUGCAAACAUUUUCCCACUUGAUGUGGUAGUAUGUUAAUUAAGUUAUAAAUACAUGACUUA